rnacentral:tRNA from 1 species
AACAGCCGCCGGUCGAACGGGCAUUAUUGAUGUUGAUGAUUAAGGAUAUAUAUCCGCUGUUCUG